AUCCCAUCUAGGAAGUGAGGAGCGUCUCUGCCCGGCCUCCCAUCCUCUGAGAUGUGGGGAGCGCCUCUGCCCCGCCGCCCGGUCUGCAAUGUGAGGAGCGCCUCUGCCUGGCCGCGACCCCGUCUGGGAGAGACUUAGAGAGCUCAGAAGACAGGAAGAUGUGGGAAAGUUUGGAACUUCCUAAAGACUUGAUGAAUGGCUUUGAUCAAAGUGCUGAUAGUGAUAAGGAUGAUGAAGUCCAGGCUGAGGUGGUCUCAGAUGGAGAUGAAGAACUUCUUGGGAACUGGAGUAAAGGUGACUCUUGCUAUGCAAUGAGACUGCUGGAAUUUUGCCUCUGCCCUAGAGAUCUUUGGAACUUUGAACUUGAGAGAGAUGUUUUAGGGUAUCUGGUAGAAGAAAUUCCUAAGCGGCAAAGUACUCAAGAGGAGGCAGAGCAUAAAAGUUUGGAAAAUUUGCAGCCUGCUGAUGCAAUAGAAACAAAAACCCCAUUUUCUGGGGAGAAAUUCAAGCCAGCUGCAGAAAUUUGCAUAAGUAACGAGGUGCCAAAUGUUAAUCACCAAGACAAUGGGGAAAAUGUCUCCAGGGCCUGUUAGAGACCUUCACAGCAGCCUCUCCCAUCUCUGGCCCAGAGACCUAGGAGGAAGGAAAUGGUUUCUUAGGUCAGGCCCAGGGACCCCCUGCUGUGUGUUAGCCUAGGGACUUGGUGCCCUGCAUCUCAGCCACUCCAGCUGUGCCUAAAAGGGGCCAAGGUACAGCUCAGGCCAUGGCUUCAGAGAGUGGAAGCCUCAAGCCUUAGCAACUUCCAUGUGGUGUUGAGUCUGUUGGUGCACAGAAGUCAAGAACUGAGGUUUGGGAACCUUUGCCUAGAUUUCAGAGGAUGUAUGAAAAUGCCUGGAUGUCCAGGCAGAAGUUUGCUGCAGGGGCAGAACCCUCAUGGAGAACCUCUGCUAGGGCAGUGAGGAAGGGAAAUGUAGAGUUGGAGUCCCCACACAAAGUCCCCACUGGGGCACUGCCUAAUGGAGCUGUGAGAAAAGGUCCACCAUCCUCCAGACCCCAGAAUGGUAGAUCUACCAACAGCUUGCACCAUGCGCCUGGAAGAGCUGCAGACACUCAACACCAGCCUGUGAAAGCAGCCAGGAGCGGGGAUGUAACCUGCAAAGCCACAGGGGUGGAACUGCCCAAGGCUGUGGGAGCCCACCUGUUGCAUCAGCACGGCCUGGAUGUGAGACAUGGAGUCAAAGGAGAUUAUUUUGCACCUUUAAGGUUUAAUGCCUGCCCUAUGGAUUUUGGACUUUCAUGGGGCCAGUAUCCCCUUUGUUUUGGCCAAUUUCUCCCAUUUGGACUUGGACUUUUGGGUUAAUGCUGGAAUGAACUCAGACUUUUUUUUCUUUUUUUUUUUUUUAUUUUGAGACAGAGUCCCACUCUGUCACCCAGGCUGGAGUGCAGUGGUGCAAUCUCGGCUCACUGCAACCUCCACCUCCUGGAUUCAAGCCAUUCCCCUACCUCAGCCUCCCAAGUAGCUGAGAUUACAGGCACCUGCCACCACACCUGACUAAUUUUUGUAUUUUUAGUAGAGACAGGUUUCACCAUGUUGGCCAGGCUGGUCUCAAACUCCUGACCUCAGUUGAUCCACCCACCUCUGCCUCCCAAAGUGCUGGGAUUACAGGUGUGAGCCAAUGUGCCCUGGAAUGAGUUAAGAGUUUGUGGGACUGUUGGGAAGGCAUGAUUGUGUUUUGAAAUAUGAGGACAGGAAGUUUGGGAGGGGCCAGGGGCAGACUGAUAUGGUUUGGCUGUGUCCCUACUCAAAUCUCAUCUCAAAUUGUAGUUCCCAUAAUCCCCAUGUGUCGUGGGAGGGACCCGGUGGGAGGUAAUUGAAUCAUGGGGGUGGUUACUUCCAUGCUGUUCUUGUGAUAGUGAAUGAGUUCUCACGAGAUCUGACGGUUUUAUAAGCGUCUGGCAUUUCCCCUACUUGCACUCAUUCUCUCUCCUGCCGCCCUAUGAAAAGGUGCCUUCCACCAUGAUUGUAAGUUUCUUGAGGCCUCCCCAGCCAUGCAGAACUGUGAGUCAAUUAAAUUUCUUUCCUUUAUAAAUU
rnacentral:lncRNA from 1 species